GCUUAUUGUAAAUAUCCUGUACUUGUUUUUACACCUUUAAAGUUGACCUUUGACCUUUUCAGUGUUGGAAAGACACUUUCUUGCACUGAGGUCUGCUUAUUGUAAAUAUCCUGUACUUGUUUUUACACCUUUAAAUUGACCUUUGACCUUUUCAGUGUUGGAAAGACACUUUCUUGCACUGAGUUCUGCUUAUUGUAAAUAUCCUGUACUUCUUUUUACACCUUUAAAGUUGACCUUUGACCUUUUUAGUGUUGGAAAGACACUUUCUUGCACUGAGUUCUGCUUAUUGUAAAUAUCCUGUACUUCUUUUUACACCUUUAAAGUUGACCUUUGACCUUUUUAGUGUUGGAAUUACACUUUCUUGCACUGAGUUCUGCUUAUUGUAAAUAUCCUGUACUUCUUUUUACACCUUUAAAGUUGACCUUUGACCUUUUCAGUGUUGGAAAGACACUUUCUUGCACUGAGGUCUGCUUAUUGUAAAUAUCCUGUACUUGUUUU
ensembl:lncRNA